UUGUAUUUGUACUGUUCUCUAAACCAUAUCUGAGUAAGAUCAUAGAUGUGUAACUGUUCGUGCUAAUCAGGAUUUUAGCAUAAUUUUAUACAAUACAAAAGCUUGAAAAUAAUGGAAGAUGAGAUAAAAUGUGCUGCAGAAAAACUAGUGUCUGCAAUAGAUAUUCAUAUGAAUCCCUAUGUUAGUCAGAACGAAAGAGAAGAAGCGUACAAGAUCUGUGAAGAUUUCAAGGAAAAUUCUCCUCUUUGUGUCCAAUGUGGUCUUCAACUAACAAACAAAGGUUACUCUUCUGUAGUGCGUCACUUUGGACUACAGCUGAUUGAACAUGUCAUCAAAUUUAAGUGGAAUGGAAUGACUCAAGAGGAAAAAGUAUUUAUCAAAGAUAGUGCUAUGCAGCUUCUUGCAACAGGAACUGAACAUAUUCUGGUGGAACAUAGCCAUAUAAAAUUUGCUUUGUCUCGAAUCAUUGUGGAAAUGGUAAAACGAGAGUGGCCACAGCAUUGGCCCAGUUUUCUUCAAGAGAUGUAUGAACUUUCAGCCAUAGGGGAAACGCAGAAAGAAUUGGUGCUACUCAUAUUUUUACGGUUAGCAGAAGAUAUUGUAGCUUUUCAGAGCAUUCAGAAUCAGCGGAGACGACAGAUUUAUCAAGCUAUGACUUUAGACUUAAAUAAUAUAAUCACAUUUUUCCUUCAGACAUUACAAAGUCAUUAUCAGAUGUAUGUUGAAAUGCGGCAGGCUGAUAAAAAAGAAGAGAUGAUGGUUCAUUGUAGAGUAGUUGAAGCUACUUUAAUGACACUUGCAGGCUUUGUGGAGUGGGUUCCUAUCUCUCAGAUCACAAAAGAAAACAAUAUUCUUUUUCCAAUACUGAGUCUACUUCUUGAAAGUCAACUACAGUUAUAUGCUGCAGAGUGCCUACUAUUGAUUGUCAGUAGGAAGGGGAAAAUUGAAGAACGAAAACCACUUCUAGUACUCUUUGAGGAAGAUGCUAUGUCAGUGAUUUUUUCUGCAGCUAGUGCUGCAGCUCUGGCCCCCUUAGAAGAACAACACUAUGUUUUUCUGAAGAAACUUUGCCAAGUUUUGACAGGUCUCGGUUCUCAGCUGUGUUUGCUGUGGGGUACCAUAGAAAAUUUUGUACCUCCCAAGGCAUUUCCCACUUAUCUAAGCUGUAUAGUUGCAUUCACUUCCCAUGCCAGUCAGGUUCUAAGCAGCUACACUCAAACUUUGUGGGCAACAUUUUUUCGACACCGUUCUAUAUCCCAGAAUCCUUGUCUUCAAGCUGUCCUAUCUAAAGUUGUUGAAAGUGAUAUAGAAAAGUUAAUGAAGGUAGGAUUUCCAUCUGGAAAUAAUUCCCUCAGUUGUGAAUAUUCAAGAAUAGACUUUCAUAAGGAUGAGGAUUACCACAGUUUUUAUAUCAGAUACAGAGCAGAAGUCACAGAAGCUUUACGAUGGGCAACGAUUCUCAAUCCCACCAUGUUAUUUGGUUAUGCAUCACAGUGGUUAACAAAUCAGCUUCAGAAGCCUAUUGAUGUAGGAGCAGGAUCUGACAAUGGCUUUUGUCACACUAGUUCUCCAUCUUAUAUCCAGUGGAGUGCGUUAGCUUUAUUUCUGGAAUGUGUUUUAAGUCGUAUUCUUGCCUCUGACAAACCAAAGCCUUCAGCAGAAGAAGGGAUUAUUCUUCUCAAAGCAGUUUUAAACUAUGACACUCAGGACCCUCUUAUCCUUUCCUCAGUGCUGUCUUGUAUCUCAGCUUUGUUUGUUUUUCUGACAUUAGCACCUGAUGAUAUAUUACCUGCUGUGCUUGAUAAGAUAUUUUCUGCUGUAGUUUUCAAUUUUCCUGGACAAACUAAAGCUACACGAAGUAAAGCAAUAAAAAAUGUGAGGCGUCAUGCCUGUUCUUCCCUUGUGAAGAUUUGUAAACAGCAUCCUAAGCUUCUCCUGCCAGCAUUUCAGCAGAUGUACACUCAAGUAAAAAACCUCUGUCAAGAUCCUGAUCAGCUUUCACAACUGGAGAAAUGUACUUUGUUAGAAGCUCUUGUUCUGAUCAGUAAUGAGUUCCACAACUACAAUCAGCAACUGGAUUUCUUGAAGGAAAUCUUUAAUCCUGUAUCUUCCAUCUGGCUGAGUUCUGAGCUACAAGAGGCUUUUUUUUCAGUAGAAACCUUUAUGUCUCAUAUUGGCCUUGAUCGUCCCCCUGUAGAACCAGGUAGUGAUGACAUCAUGGGAAUUAACAGGUCACAGAUAAUUUACUGUGUGUCAACCAUCCUGGGAGUUAUCAAACGGUCUAGAUGGCCAGAUGAUUUUGAGGUAGCAAAGAAAGGUGGAUUUUUGCAUGAAUUUGGUAGUGAAACAGGCCUACAUUUUCGCAACCCUGCUACACCAUAUGUUUCCAUGUUGCUUGAGAGACUAUUUUCUUUAAUUGGAGUUUUAAAUAGUCUAUGGAGGCCAGAUGCAUUAAGUAAAAUACAUUCAGAGUUUGCCACAGCUAAUGACAUGCUAGAGGUUGAAAAACAAAACAUUUUAGGUCAGAAUCCACAGUGUCUAGAUUUUUCAGAUAACCCUGCUAUGAAACAGCCUCCAGAAAGGAUGAAACAUUUUAUGUCAACUGUUCAUGAAACCUGUUAUCACAUUUUAGGAAAUUCUGGGCCAAGUCUUGGAGCUGACUUUUAUGCCAUUCCAAAUCUGGCAGCAGCUAUUGUAUCAUCUGUUUUUGCUGACUUGAACAAUGUUCCAGAUUACAGAUUACGUCCUGUUAUUCGUAUUUUUAUGAAACCUUUUAUCCAACACUGUCCACCACAAUUCUACCAGACAGCCCUUAUUCCUGUACUAGAGGUUCUUUGUCCACUUAUGUUUCAAAGAUUAAGUACAAAGUGGGAACAAUUUAAGCAACGUUAUGGUACCAGUUCAGGCUAUGAGGAAGAAAUGACAGAAAGUCAGGAAGUGCUAGAUGAUCAAGUGAAUCGACAAGUUACUAGAGAAUAUGUAGAUCUUCUAGAUGUCAUUCUUCAUGGAAAGAAAAUAUCCAAUGAGCAAGUGUCUGAGCUCAUGGAAGAAGAAACUGAAACUAGUAAACCUGCUAGUCCAACAGAUGGUCUUUCUGAGCUAGGUAUCUCAGUAAUACGAACUGAAACUGUUUGCCCUUCAAUUGUCAUGACAAUAUGUGAUGCUCUUCACUGGCUUGAUACAACUACAUGUCUGAAAAGUGUUCAGUUAUGUACACCAGUACUUAAGCAGCUGUUAUCAGAUUCUAUUAUCCAGCAACCAGAAGAAGCUUUCUAUAUUCUACACAGUGUACUCAAAGGACUACAGGAGCUUGGUGAACAUGAAGCUAAUCAAGCACUUUUGCUUGGGUUGGGGCUGCAGACAUAUGAGACUCUACGUCCAGUAUUUCCUACUUUACAAACCGUCUUGUCUCAAGUGACUGGUUGCACUCAGAAAGACUUGCAGUUCCUUCUUGUCGCUGUAUUUCUGUGGGCGACUCGACAGUGGAUCUCUCUGCUUUUAUAUGUCAGAAGAUUGAACAUUACAUGGGUCAACCUUUGUCUCCAGACAUCACCCAGGCUCCACCUAAGUCAGCUGAACUUGUUCAGAAUGACGAGGACUUUGAUCGUCUUUUCCCGCCUCCAGAGUUUGCUGUUUCUUCCCAUUUGCAGCGUGAGGAAUCACCUAGACCUAAUUCGGUAUUUACGGAUUUUGCAUCUCAGAGCUUUGAUGAAAAAAUAUUGCAGACAUCUUCUGGUAAAAUAACAGAAAAACGAAAGAAAGAUAUCUUCAGGAAAUUAGUGUCGGAUAUAAUUGGUACAAAUAUUGGACAACAGUUUAAGAAGGAAGUUCAUAUAAAGAAUUUACCACCAUUGUUCUGUUGGCCUCGUAAAAAUAACCUUCCCUUAGAUGACUUGGAAAAAUAUAACAUGGGGUUAUGUGAAUUAUUUCAACCU
rnacentral:misc_RNA from 1 species